rnacentral:rRNA from 1 species
GACGAACGCUGGCGGCGUGCCUAAUACAUGCAAGUAGAACGCACAGUUUAUACCGUAGCUUGCUACACCAUAGACUGUGAGUUGCGAACGGGUGAGUAACGCGUAGGUAACCUGCCUGGUAGCGGGGGAUAACUAUUGGAAACGAUAGCUAAUACCGCAUAAUAUUAAUUAUUGCAUGAUAAUUAAUUGAAAGGUGCAAUUGCACCACUACCAGAUGGACCUGCGUUGUAUUAGCUAGUAGGUGAGGUAACGGCUCACCUAGGCGACGAUACAUAGCCGACCGGAGAGGGGGAGCGGCCACACUGGGACUGAGACACGGCCCAGACUCCUACGGGAGGCAGCAGUAGGGAAUCUUCGGCAAUGGACGAAAGUCUGACCGAGCAACGCCGCGUGAGUGAAGAAGGUUUUCGGAUCGUAAAGCUCUGUUGUAAGAGAAGAACGGGUGUGAGAGUGGAAAGUUCACACUGUGACGGUAUCUUACCAGAAAGGGACGGCUAACUACGUG